rnacentral:rRNA from 1 species
GAAGGCCAGGCUGAAGACUUUGCCGGAUUAGCUGAGAGGUGGUGCAUGGCCGUCGUCAGUUCGUACUGUGAAGCAUCCUGUUAAGUCAGGCAACGAGCGAGACCCACGCCCACAGUUGCCAGCGUACUCUCCGGAGUGACGGGUACACUGUGGGACCGCCGCUGCUAAAGCGGAGGAAGGAAUGGGCAACGGUAGGUCAGUAUGCCCCGAAUAUCCCGGGCUACACGCGAGCUACAAUGGUUGGUACAAUGGGUAUCUACCCCGAAAGGGGACGGGAAUCUCCUAAAACCAAUCUUAGUUCGGAUUGAGGGCUGCAACUCGCCCUCAUGAAGCUGGAAUCCGUAGUAAUCGCGUUUCAACAGAACGCGGUGAAUACGUCCCUGCUCCUU